GUGGCUUAGUGGUUAGAGUGUCCAUUUCGGAUGCAGAAGGUUGCUGGUUCAAACCCUGGCAGAGUCA